GUCAGUGUCCAAAGGGUAGGAAAACCCCCUGUCAGCCUUCAAGAUUUCUUUCCUUUGCUUUGCAUCUUUCGGCUGUCAUAAGUAAUGGGGGGAGGAGGGGAGAAAUAGUUAUGGGAAGGGAGCUGGAGGUUUGAGAGAAUAAACUGUAUAAGUUGGGGGGGGGAGUUUCUUCUUUAUGCUUCCUUUCUAUGCUAUGCACAAGUGCAGCUCUUUAUCAAAAUAGGCCAAGGUCAACGGACAGAUGCCUCAUCACCACCUGAAGAUGCCCA